UGCGUAGGCGGCGCGGAAAGUUGGGUGUGAAAUCCCUCGGCUCAGCCGAGGAACUGCGCCCAAAACUACCGUGCUCGAGGGAGAUAGAGGUGAGCGGAACUUAGGGUGGAGCGGUGAAAUGCGUUGAUAUCCUAAGGAACACCAGUGGCGAAAGCGGCUCACUGGAUCUCUUCUGCGCUGAGCACGAAAGCUAGGUAGCGAACG
rnacentral:rRNA from 1 species